UCCUCCGCACGGCUGCCUUUAUUACCCCAGUGCUAAAGGAGCACUUUUGGUGAAGAAUUGGCCAAAAGCUUGCACCUACUCGGCCGACUGAUCCGGAAAGGACGCCCUUCAGGUUAUUUACGAGCGCGAAGCUCGAGCAAGGAGAAAUACAAUCAGCGCCGACGUUGGCCAGCUGUCCCUGUGAGAGAGCGCCUUGGUGGGAGCGGGGACGGCGGGUGCCGGGGUCAGGACGCCCUCCAGGGUCAACGCGGCGUCUUCGCUGAUUGCAAAACAAAAAAAAAAACGCCGGCCGGUCCCUCGCAGCGCCAGGAAAACGCCACGGCGGGGGUCAAUGCAGGUAAAAACAUGGCGCUUGCUGCACCAGACGAGGGUGUUUAUUCCAAAUUCACACCUGUACACUGUAAAAAAAAAAAAUCAGUAAAAAAAAAAACGAUCAUUUAC